GCCCAGGUGGUGGAAUUGGUAGACACGCCAGCUUGAGGGGCUGGUGGCUAAUUUUUGGCCGUGGAGGUUCAAGUCCUCUCCUGGGCACCA
rnacentral:tRNA from 1 species